rnacentral:rRNA from 1 species
AACGUUUGCCUUUUGCUCCACUUGAUGCGAUGACUGUUCCCAUAGAUGCAGCCAUUCCCAUAACAAUGGUUUGGACAUCUGCCUUGAUAAAGUUCAUGGUAUCUACGAUUGCCAAACCAGCUGAAACAGAACCACCUGGUGUAUUGACAUAAAGGUAAAUAUCUUUUGUACUAUCUUGGGCAUCCAAGAAAAGCAGUUGGGCAAUAACAGAGUUAGCCAUAUUGUCUUCAACCGGACCUGUCAGCAUAAUGAUGCGGUCUUUGAGAAGACGUGAGUAAAUAUCGUAAGAACGUUCUCCACGGCUUGUUUGUUCAAUAACUACAGGAAUCAUUCAUUUCUCCUUUUGAGUUUUAAUUUUGUUGGUCAAAUGACUGAAGAUAAGACUAUUAUAAUAUCUUGGUCAAAAAAGGUCAAAUUUUUGCUCUGCUUUCAUUAGACAGAAACAAAAACCCAACCUCCUUUCGUGACUAGAAAUACUUUUCCAAGUCAUUCUUCUUUUCGAUCUUAUUUUGUACCGAACAAGCGGUCUCCAGCAUCUCCAAGACCUGGAACGAUAUAACCGUGUUCGUUCAAACGUUCAUCCAAGGCUGCUGUAAAGAUUUCUACAUCUGGAUGAGCUUCUUGAAGGGCUUUUACACCCUCUGGAGCAGAUACAAGGCAGACAAAUUUGAUAUUUGAUGCGCCACGUUUUUUAAGAGAAUCAACAGCCAAGAUUGCUGAGCCACCUGUUGCCAACAUUGGGUCUACUACAAAAAUUUGACGUUGGUCAAUGUCCUCAGGCAAUUUCACCAAGUAUUCAACUGGUUGAAGUGUUUCUUCAUCACGGUACAUACCGAUGUGGCCAACUUUAGCAGCUGGAACCAAGCUCAAGAGACCAUCAACCAUCCCGAUACCUGCACGCAAGAUUGGGACGAUGGCCAAUUUCUUACCUGCCAAUUGUUUUUGAACUGUUUUUGUAAUUGGUGUUUCGAUUUCCACAUCUUCUAGUGGAAGAUCACGAAGUACUUCAUACCCCAUCAACAUUGCAAUCUCAUCUACUAGCUCACGAAAAGCUUUUGUAGAAGUAUCUGUACGACGCAAGAUUGACAAUUUGUGUUGAAUCAGUGGGUGAUUAAUAACUUCAAUUUUUCCCAUUUUUGGAAUUCCUUCUUUCAAUUUAUUCUUCUUAUUAUACCAAAAAACGGUUUAAAAAUCUUUCUAAACCAUUUAUUUUUGAUAAUUUUUACAUUAGAUCAGCCUCUUUAAGAGCUGUCUGUACUGUCUCAAGUGGUAAAUGGGUCAAUUCUGUCCCUUUUUCUUGAUAAAGGUAUUGGGCGUAGUCGUCCAUUCGGUACUGGUUGAUAUAAACCACGCGCUUGCAGCCGACCUGAAGCAAUUGUUUUGUACAGUUGAGACAAGGAAAAUGGGUUACAUAGGCUGUAAAGCCUUUGGGAACACCACGCUCAGCACCUUGAAGGAUAGCAUUGACCUCAGCGUGAAGGGUGCGAACACAGUGGCCUUCAAUGACCAAACAUUCGUGAUCAAUACAAUGCUCAGUCCCUGACACCGAACCAUUGUAACCAGUGGAAAUAACCUUAUUAUCUUUUACCAGAAUCGCGCCCACUUUAGCACGUUUACAAGUGGAACGAUUCGCAAUUAGUAGAGCUUGGGCUGCAAAAUACUCAUCCCAGGCCAGUCUUUUUUCAGUCAUCUCUUUUCUCCUUUUUCUCUAUUUUUUAAAAAAUNGGAAACUGUUUAACUUGAGUGCAAGAGGGGAGAGUGGAAUUCCAUGUGUAGCGGUGAAAUGCGUAGAUAUAUGGAGGAACACCGGUGGCGAAAGCGGCUCUCUGGCUUGUAACUGACGCUGAGGCUCGAAAGCGUGGGGAGCAAACAGGAUUAGAUACCCUGGUAGUCCACGCUGUAAACGAUGAGUGCUAGGUGUUAGACCCUUUCCGGGGUUUAGUGCCGUAGCUAACGCAUUAAGCACUCCGCCUGGGGAGUACGACCGCAAGGUUGAAACUCAAAGGAAUUGACGGGGGCCCGCACAAGCGGUGGAGCAUGUGGUUUAAUUCGAAGCAACGCGAAGAACCUUACCAGGUCUUGACAUCCCUCUGACCGCUCUAGAGAUAGAGUUUUCCUUCGGGACAGAGGUGACAGGUGGUGCAUGGUUGUCGUCAGCUCGUGUCGUGAGAUGUUGGGUUAAGUCCCGCAACGAGCGCAACCCCUAUUGUUAGUUGCCAUCAUUUAGUUGGGCACUCUAGCGAGACUGCCGGUAAUAAACCGGAGGAAGGUGGGGAUGACGUCAAAUCAUCAUGCCCCUUAUGACCUGGGCUACACACGUGCUACAAUGGCUGGUACAACGAGUCGCAAGCCGGUGACGGCAAGCUAAUCUCUUAAAGCCAGUCUCAGUUCGGAUUGUAGGCUGCAACUCGCCUACAUGAAGUCGGAAUCGCUAGUAAUCGCGGAUCAGCACGCCGCGGUGAAUACGUUCCCGGGCCUUGUACACACCGCCCGUCACACCACGAGAGUUUGUAACACCCGAAGUCGGUGAGGUAACCGUAAGGAGCCAGCCGCCUAAGGUGGGAUAGAUGAUUGGGGUGAAGUCGUAACAAGGUAGCCGUAUCGGAAGGUGCGGCUGGAUCACCU